UGGCGGCAGUAGCGCGGUGGUCCCACCUGACCCCAUGCCGAACUCAGAAGUGAAACGCCGUAGCGCCGAUGGUAGUGUGGGGGCUCCCCAUGCGAGAGUAGGGAACUGCCAGACA
rnacentral:rRNA from 4 species